rnacentral:ncRNA from 1 species
AUAUCAUGCUAGGGGUGCUCGAAGUGAGCUGAGAAAGAUAGACUCUUAACUCUUUGAACCUGAUAUGGUUAAUACCAUCGAAGGGAAGCGACAACAUGUUAUU